AUGGUGUCCACCUCAGACAGUGUUUUGAGUAUAAUAUGUGUGAAAAACAGUAGAGACAACAAAAUGAAAAACAUAAGCAUCUUGUCUUAGAGCGCAUAGGAUCAUAUUAUAAUUGUGAAAUAUUUUCAUGCAAACAUCUUACCUGAAGAUUACUGAAAAUUAUUCUUCUCGGCUUCACUGAUCUGCAGGAUUGUGGUGUGAGUUCAGAUUUCUAGACUGGGGUGAGUGCUGGGUGAUUGUGGAUACUUUGUACAAAUCAUGUCUCCAGCCUGUGACAAGAGAUUGUGUCCACUCCAGGGGGUUUACUGCCUCAGCACUGGCUCCUGUUACCAACUGUCCAUUUCUGUCUGCCAAAGACACAGAGGACAACCAAAGCACAGAAAAUAAAUGGUCAGCAGCACAUAGCAGCAUAAUACAUGGGCUCUUGAAACUGGCACCACUUGCUAACCAGAGAAGAAAUUCCAUCUCUUCAUUGUAAAGAGAGGAAAGGCCGUGGUUUAGGAAUAUCAGAAGGAAAACUAACUACCAGGCUUAAAAGUAGCCAGAGGAACAAGCACUUCUAGCUGAAUAUGCCAUCUUGGUUGUACAUACCCCAACGGAGCCAUCAGCAGCAAGGACA